UACAGAGGCCCCGAGCGUUAUCCGGAAUUAUUGGGUGUAAAGGGUGUGUAGGUGGCAUUGUUAGUCGUUUGUGAAAGCCCGGGGCUUAACCUCGGAAACGCGAACGAAACGGCAAAGCUUGAGUAUGUGAGAGGUAAGCGGAACUCAAGGUGUAGGGGUGAAAUCCGUUGAUAUCUUGGGGAACACCAAAAGCGAAGGCAGCUUACUGGCACAUUACUGACACUGAAACACGAAAGCGUGGGUAG
rnacentral:rRNA from 1 species